GAGUUUGAUCAUGGCUCAGGACGAACGCUGGCGGCGUGCCUAAUACAUGCAAGUAGAACGCUGAGGGGUGUUUACACUAGACUGAUGAGUUGCGAACGGGUGAGUAACGCGUAGGUAACCUGCCUCAUAGCGGGGGAUAACUAUUGGAAACGAUAGCUAAUACCGCAUAAGAGUAAUUAACACAUGUUGGUAAUG
rnacentral:rRNA from 1 species